UACGUAGGGUGCGAGCGUUGUCCGGAAUUAUUGGGCGUAAAGAGCUUGUAGGCGGUUUGUCGCGUCUGCUGUGAAAAUCCGGGGCUCAACCCCGGACUUGCAGUGGGUACGGGCAGACUAGAGUGUGGUAGGGAGACUGGAAGUUCCUGGUGUAGCGGUGGAAUGCGCAGAUAUCAGGAGGAACACCGAUGGCGAAGGCAGGUCUCUGGGCCACUACUGACGCUGAGAGACGAAAGCUAGGGGAGCGAAUGGG
rnacentral:rRNA from 1 species